AUAUAUAUAUAUAUAUAUAUAUCACUUGUGUACCAUGGUUUUUCUUGCGUUGAUAAUGAAAGUGGAUACUGUUGUUUAUGGAUAGUAUUGAGAUAUAGCUUGUGUUGCAGAUUUCCUCUCAGUACAUACUCUGUUCCGGUUUCCAUGCUAAAUGCUGCAUGGUUGAACUCAAAAAGCAGCCAUCAUGGAGUUGGGAGCUCACAGUGUAGUGCUUGAAGGGGAUUCAUUCACUCUUGCGUGCUGGAUUAAUGUUGCAAGCAAGGCUCAACAUUCCUUUCUCAGGAACAUCAAGAGAGCUGGCGCAACCUUGUUGGAAUUGUCCACAAUUUUUGUGAAGCAAAUCAGGCAGCUGACUUUCUCGCCAUGUUUAGACUUAAAACUUUCCUCAGCUUUCUAAUUUGACCUUCGCUGAUUCUGUUGUCGAUUGUUUUCUUAGAUUGCAAUGUUGGGGCCUGAUUCCCCCACUGGGAAAAAACAAAAAAUCUACCAUGUAGUUGUGAUGUGAGUAAUUUAAUCAUGCAUCCUUUACAAUGAUAAUGACUUGCUGGGAUUCACUCACCUUUUUAUAUAUGUAUGUAUGAAUGAAUGAAUGAUUAGACUACAAGCAAAAAAUGGUUUAACUCG
rnacentral:lncRNA from 1 species